AGUAGUUGUAGUCCUCGGUCGUCAGGAGUGAACGGCUCGGCGGCGGUGCUUAACUACAUAGCAAGUACGAACGAAGACACUUAAGUAACGGAGUUACUUCGUUUGUAGUCUUAUUUGUACUGAGUGGCGGACGGGUGAGUAACGCGUGGGUAACCUGCCUCAUACAGGGGGAUAACAGUUAGAAAUGACUGCUAAUACCGCAUAAGCGCACGGUCUCGCAUGGGACGGUGUGAAAAACUCCGGUGGUAUGAGAUGGACCCGCGUCUGAUUAGCUGGUUGGCGAGUAAGGGCUCACCAAGGCGACGAUCAGUAGCCGGCCUGAGAGGGUGAACGGCCACAUUGGGACUGAGACACGGCCCAAACUCCUACGGGAGGCAGCAGUGGGGAAUAUUGCACAAUGGGGGAAACCCUGAUGCAGCGACGCCGCGUGAAGGAAGAAGUAUUUCGGUAUGUAAACUUCUAUCAGCAGGGAAGAAAAUGACGGUACCUGACUAGGAAGCCCCGGCUAACUACGUG
rnacentral:rRNA from 1 species